rnacentral:rRNA from 1 species
GGCUUUACGAAACCUAACGGCGCAAUGAAAAGGAAGGCCCCCUCCCUUCGGGGGCUUAGGUUGGAUUCCCCGGUCCUUGCCGGGGGCGCACCACCGCCCCGUCUGGACACCUUGCCACCCUGGCCGCGGUCGGGGAGAGCUGGAGAGGUCAGGCGGAGCUAGAGCGCACACGUUGGUACCCGAAAGAUGGUGAACUAUGCCUGAGCAGGUUGAAGCCAGGGGAAACCCUGGUGGAGGACCGUAGCGAUUCUGACGUGCAAAUCGAUCGUCCGACUUGGGUAUAGGGGCGAAAGACUAAUCGAACCAUCUAGUAGCUGGUUCCCUCCGAAGUUUCCCUCAGGAUAGCAGGCGCUCGAGGGUUCAGUUUUAUCCGGUAAAGCGAAUGAUUAGAGGCCUUGGGGUCGAAACGUCCUCAACCUAUUCUCAAACUUUAAAUGGGUAAGAAGCCCCGCUGGCUGGCUUGCAGCGGCGCCCCUGACAGAA